AUCCCUAUGGCGCAGUGGUAGCGCGCUUCGCUCUUGUGUAUGGGGCAACUUGUGCAUGUCCCGUGCGACAAGUUGUCCUGUACAGUGUCAAAGAGGUCAGGGGUUCAAUUCCUCCUGGGGGCA